CUAGUCCCCUGAUAUUAAAUAAAUAAUGAAGCUUGCUUAUUACAAAGAUAAUAGCUAGUGCACAAUACGCAUCCAAACAUUGUGUAACCUGGACCCAUUGAAUAAGAAGUGAAAAUUUUGUGAUAAUUUAUUUUAAGGGUAGGAGAAGGAAUCUCAAAGCCUAGUCGAUCUAAGAAUCAUGUAGAUAUUUGGAAAUGAAUUUGACCGCUAAACGUCACCCACCAAAUCUUUGACCCCCAUUUCCACCAAGGAGGAAUGGAUAUUCCGAAAAGUGCGAAACACUCCUUAAUUGAAUUUGAACAAUGAUAUUUAGUUUGCAUUUGAGACCAAUCGGAAGGUAAACAAAAAGUUGUAUUCAAACGUUUUUUGACAAUUCACCGCUGUAGAGUUUUGAGUUGACCCGAAGAGUAUAUACGAGCGCCAGAGGAACGUAUUUUCUGAUUAUCUUAACAUUGAUAUGCUAUAUGCUAUAUAUCUAAAGAGUUUUAUCGGCGAAAGAUUGCACGUGUCCUGAAGCGUAACAAACGCUUGUAUGGUCUCGUAUAAAUGGAUUUUUUUUAAAUUGGCUUCGUAUCUUGCACCAGUGAGCCAUAUUUGUCCUUACGUUGGAAUGACAAUAAUGUGUACAUUAUAGUUGUGUUAAUAAUGGCCUGAUUGUUGCAAGUACAUACAAGAACUCUCUCAAAAGUGUUAAAACGAUUCGUAGAAUCGCGUUGGCUGCUUUUCAAGUCGAAUAUGAAUACGAAUAUAUUAUUGCGAGCGAGCUUACCAAGCCAGAUAUCCAUCAUUGAAACGUUAACACUAUGUGUAGCCAUGUCCUGAUAUUGAGCUCUUAGUUACGAAGCUUGCAUCGCAAAGUGCGGUUCCUUAUCGAGAACAUAAGACAGAGCUGAGUCUGCAUUACAAGAAGUCUGUAAAAUAAAUUUCUUUAAUGUCCAUGCUCAUGGAGGCUGGAGAUAACACGGACCGGAAGUGGUUCAGUGGCUGGGAUUUUUUUGCAAUAAACUUCAAUUUAUGCCA